UACGUAGGGGGCAAGCGUUGUCCGGAAUUAUUGGGCGUAAAGAGCGUGUAGGCGGUCCGGUAAGUCGGCUGUGAAAGUCCAGGGCUCAACCCUGGGAUGCCGGUCGAUACUGCCGGACUAGAGUUCGGAAGAGGCGAGUGGAAUUCCCGGUGUAGCAGUGAAAUGCGCAGAUAUCGGGAGGAACACCUAUGGCGAAGGCAGCUCGCUGGGACGUUACUGACGCUGAGACGCGAAAGCGUGGGGAGCAAACAGG
rnacentral:rRNA from 1 species